GACGAACGCUGGCGGCGUGCUUAACACAUGCAAGUCGAACGGAAAGGCCCUGCUUUUGUGGGGUGCUCGAGUGGCGAACGGGUGAGUAACACGUGAGUAACCUGCCCUUGACUUUGGGAUAACUUCAGGAAACUGGGGCUAAUACCGGAUAGGAGCUCCUGCGGCAUGGUGGGGGUUGGAAAGUUUCGGCGGUUGGGGAUGGACUCGCGGCUUAUCAGCUUGUUGGUGGGGUAGUGGCUUACCAAGGCUUUGACGGGUAGCCGGCCUGAGAGGGUGACCGGCCACAUUGGGACUGAGAUACGGCCCAGACUCCUACGGGAGGCAGAAGUGGGGAAUAUUGCACAAUGGGCGGAAGCCUGAUGCAGCAACGCCGCGUGCGGGAUGACGGCCUUCGGGUUGUAAACCGCUUUCGCCUGUGACGAAGCGUGAGUGACGGUAAUGGGUAAAGAAGCACCGGCUAACUACGUG
rnacentral:rRNA from 1 species